rnacentral:rRNA from 1 species
AACGAACGCUGGCGGCAUGCCUAACACAUGCAAGUCGAACGAUCCCUUCGGGGAUAGUGGCGCACGGGUGCGUAACGCGUGGGAACCUGCCCUUAGGUUCGGAAUAACUCAGAGAAAUUUGAGCUAAUACCGGAUAAUGUCUUCGGACCAAAGAUUUAUCGCCUUUGGAUGGGCCCGCGUUGGAUUAGCUAGUUGGUGGGGUAAAGGCCUACCAAGGCGACGAUCCAUAGCUGGUCUGAGAGGAUGAUCAGCCACACUGGGACUGAGACACGGCCCAGACUCCUACGGGAGGCAGCAGUAGGGAAUAUUGGACAAUGGGCGAAAGCCUGAUCCAGCAAUGCCGCGUGAGUGAUGAAGGCCUUAGGGUUGUAAAGCUCUUUUACCCGGGAUGAUAAUGACAGUACCGGGAGAAUAAGCCCCGGCUAACUCCGUG